GAUGAAGAACGUAGCGAAAUGCGAUAAGUAAUGUGAAUUGCAGAAUUCAGUGAAUCAUCGAAUCUUUGAACGCACAUUGCGCCAGCCAGUAGUCUGGCGGGCAUGCCUGUUCGAGCGUCAUUUCAACCAUCAAGCCCCAGGCUUGUGUUGGGGACCUGCGGCUGCCGCAGGCCCUGAAAACCAGUGGCGGGCUCGCUGUCACACCGGGCGUAGUAGAUUUUAUCUCGCUCAGGGCGUGCUGCGGGUUCCGGCCGUUAAAAAGCCUUUUUUACCCAAGGUUGACCUCGGAUCAGGUAGGAAGACCCGCUGAACUUAAGCAUAUCAAUAAGCGGAGGA
rnacentral:misc_RNA from 1 species